rnacentral:rRNA from 1 species
AAGCAGCUUGCUGCUUUGCUGACGAGUGGCGGACGGGUGAGUAAUGUCUGGGAAACUGCCUGAUGGAGGGGGAUAACUACUGGAAACGGUAGCUAAUACCGCAUAACGUCGCAAGACCAAAGAGGGGGACCUUAGGGCCUCUUGCCAUCGGAUGUGCCCAGAUGGGAUUAGCUAGUAGGUGGGGUAACGGCUCACCUAGGCGACGAUCCCUAGCUGGUCUGAGAGGAUGACCAGCCACACUGGAACUGAGACACGGUCCAGACUCCUACGGGAGGCAGCAGUGGGGAAUAUUGCACAAUGGGCGCAAGCCUGAUGCAGCCAUGCCGCGUGUAUGAAGAAGGCCUUCGGGUUGUAAAGUACUUUCAGCGGGGAGGAAGGGAGUAAAGUUAAUACCUUUGCUCAUUGACGUUACCCGCAGAAGAAGCACCGGCUAACUCCGUGCCAGCAGCCGCGGUAAUACGGAGGGUGCAAGCGUUAAUCGGAAUUACUGGGCGUAAAGCGCACGCAGGCGGUUUGUUAAGUCAGAUGUGAAAUCCCCGGGCUCAACCUGGGAACUGCAUCUGAUACUGGCAAGCUUGAGUCUCGUAGAGGGGGGUAGAAUUCCAGGUGUAGCGGUGAAAUGCGUAGAGAUCUGGAGGAAUACCGGUGGCGAAGGCGGCCCCCUGGACGAAGACUGACGCUCAGGUGCGAAAGCGUGGGGAGCAAACAGGAUUAGAUACCCUGGUAGUCCACGCCGUAAACGAUGUCGACUUGGAGGUUGUGCCCUUGAGGCGUGGCUUCCGGAGCUAACGCGUUAAGUCGACCGCCUGGGGAGUACGGCCGCAAGGUUAAAACUCAAAUGAAUUGACGGGGGCCCGCACAAGCGGUGGAGCAUGUGGUUUAAUUCGAUGCAACGCGAAGAACCUUACCUGGUCUUGACAUCCACGGAAGUUUUCAGAGAUGAGAAUGUGCCUUCGGGAACCGUGAGACAGGUGCUGCAUGGCUGUCGUCAGCUCGUGUUGUGAAAUGUUGGGUUAAGUCCCGCAACGAGCGCAACCCUUAUCCUUUGUUGCCAGCGGUCCGGCCGGGAACUCAAAGGAGACUGCCAGUGAUAAACUGGAGGAAGGUGGGGAUGACGUCAAGUCAUCAUGGCCCUUACGACCAGGGCUACACACGUGCUACAAUGGCGCAUACAAAGAGAAGCGACCUCGCGAGAGCAAGCGGACCUCAUAAAGUGCGUCGUAGUCCGGAUUGGAGUCUGCAACUCGACUCCAUGAAGUCGGAAUCGCUAGUAAUCGUGGAUCAGAAUGCCACGGUGAAUACGUUCCCGGGCCUUGUACACACCGCCCGUCACACCAUGGGAGUGGGUUGCAAAAGAAGUAGGUAGCUUAACCUUCGGGAGGGCGCUUACCACUUUGUGAUUCAUGACUGGGGUGAAGUCGUAACAAGGUAACCGUAGGGGAACCUGCGGUUGGAUCACCUCCUUACCUUAAA